UGGCGAGGAGAAGGAGGAGGGGGAAACAGGAGGAGGAGGAGGUACCAAGUAUCAGGUUGUGGCUUGCAUCAACAGGUCCCAUGCACCUGACCAAGAGAACAGGCUUUCUAUUGCUCAGGCUUGUGAUAUACAGAUGAAGGUAAUAGACUGGAACCGUGAAAUGCAGUUGUGAACUGCUAAAGCCUCAUCGAAAGUUUACGCCAACAACUGCAAUUUUAUAGGCACUUCAGGAAAAGAAGACAGCAUUGGCCAUUUAACAUAGCAGUAAUGUUUGUUUUCCUUCUGCCAAGUAUACAACAUUAUGAUUAAGAAAGAGAGGAGCCCAUAAUUUUUCUUGGUUAACAUGGGAACGCAAAACAGGAGGGUGUGUUUAUCUUGUUUAAUGUUUUUUCUCUCCUCUGACCUCUAAAAGGCUUUAAGUAAAUUUUGUGGUAAAGCAAAGCACAUGAGCAGCGAGGGAGUCUCAGACAGUUAUAGUGUCUGAAUACACUCUUUGUGGUAUUGGCAAAGAUGCUGUGAUUAAGAAUUGGCAAGCUGGUGGCUUCGACUGAUAGAACUUUUAUUUUCCUUCCAAGAAACCUGCAACAUGAGGAUGGACAU